GUUAGGUUCCCUUAACCUCUUCGAUUUCUACGUGAAAAGGACUCUAUGCCUUUUAAUGUUCAUUCAAUUGCACAUGUUUUUGAACUAUGAAAGAAUAACAUAAUUUGUACGAUUAUCACAGAGAAGAACGAUAAUAACUUAUCAAUCGCAAUUUAAACGACCAACUAUCUCUUGUGACUCAAAUAACUGACAAACUGACUCGCCGCCAUGCGACUGUACGAAUCGUACGAAUGGAUUGCGUUGCCAAGCAACGCGUGCGAAGUCACGUGACACACAGCAUGGAAGCAAUGCGGAGGGAUGAAACGAAAAGGAAAUCGACCUGUGGAUCGAAGGCAGCGCAACAGUUUUCCGAUAGGAUUGCAUUAAUUACCUCCACUCCUCGUCGAUUUGCACAAAUCAUCUGAUAAAUUAGUAUGUACGUUGAUCGUUGAAUUUUCAAUGGAUUAGCGAAAACGCACUUGAUGUCGACGUUCAAGAGGCCCAGUGCGCCUCGUGUUCGUCGAUUGCGUCAAAAGGUAUAGAAACUGGCGAUGUCUCGUAAAGCUAUCUGAACGAGAAAGAAACGAACAAUCAACCACGGGCUGAUUCUAUGCGAGAAAAUAAAUCGGAAAUAUAGAAUAACAUUUUUUUAGACGAACCGGAUUUGAAGAUCGAAGAUCACAGUUAUGUUUUACUGAACGGAAGUUCGCUAUACCAAUCGAAAAGAUAAGACGAAUUUCCAUGACCUCAAGGAAACGUAUUUUAUAACAGUGCAAUAAUUAAACUUGAAUUCAAA
rnacentral:misc_RNA from 1 species